UACGGAGGAUGCGAGCGUUAUCCGGAUUUAUUGGGUUUAAAGGGUGCGUAGGCGGAUCGUUAAGUCAGUGGUCAAAUUGAGGGGCUCAACCCCUUCCCGCCAUUGAAACUGGCGUGCUCGAGUUGGAGAGAAGUAUGCGGAAUUCGUGGUGUAGCGGUGAAAUGCAUAGAUAUCACGAAGAACCCCGAUUGCGAAGGCAGCAUACCGGCUCCACACUGACGCUGAGGCACGAAAGCGUGGGUAUCGAACAGG
rnacentral:rRNA from 1 species